AGGAUUAGAUACCCUGGUAGUCCACGCCGUAAACGAUGUCGACUUGGAGGUUGUGCCCUUGAGGCGUGGCUUCCGGAGCUAACGCGUUAAGUCGACCGCCUGGGGAGUACGGCCGCAAGGUUAAAACUCAAAUGAAUUGACGGGGGCCCGCACAAGCGGUGGAGCAUGUGGUUUAAUUCGAUGCAACGCGAAGAACCUUACCUGGUCUUGACAUCCACGGAAGUUUCAGAGAUGAGAA
rnacentral:rRNA from 1 species